AUGGCUAACAGGGAAGAAGAGCCGCCGGCGUCCCCCGCCUUGGCAGUGGUGGCACCGUCCUUGUACCCUUUGAUCCCCAGGAUCAUGAGCAAGCGGCGGAUGUGGGUGUGCUUCUUCGCAUGUACGCCGCCCUCCUGUCCUCCACAUGGAACUCCCUCAAGUCCAUCCUCGCCUAGUACUAGUCACAGGCCAACCAACACUCGUCGUCCAGGUGGCCCACCCUCUACGCGUCGGUGCUCCUCGACAUCGUCUUUGGGGUCCUCUCCAUGGUCGCCACCCUCGCCGUCGCCAUCCUGGUGACACUAGUGACGUGGAUCACGGUCGUGGUGCUGCUGGCCUUCUUCAGGAAGCCCAAGAGGACGCUGGUCCACGAAGGGAGCAAGAUAACAAAGGAGAUCGUUGGGCUGGUGGGCAAGGUUUUGCUCAAGGAAGGGAAUGUCGUGGCCACGGUUUGUGCUGUAGUUGGGUACUUCGCUCUCAUCAAGAGGAACGCUGAGGGUAACUGAUGGGAUAGAAUUCAAGUUGUGACAGAUUCAGAUCGGCAAAUUUUUCAUUUUAUUGGGAAGA